GGAAUAUUGGACAAUGGGCGCAAGCCUGAUCCAGCCAUGCCGCGUGCAGGAAGAAGGUCCUAUGGAUUGUAAACUGCUUUUAUACAGGAAGAAACACCUCUACGUGUAGAGACUUGACGGUACUGUAUGAAUAAGGACCGGCUAACUCCGUGCCAGCAGCCGCGGUAAUACGGAGGGUCCAAGCGUUAUCCGGAAUCAUUGGGUUUAAAGGGUCCGUAGGCGGCCAAAUAAGUCAGUGGUGAAAGCCCAUCGCUCAACGAUGGAACGGCCAUUGAUACUGUUUGGCUUGAAUUAUUAGGAAGUAACUAGAAUAUGUAGUGUAGCGGUGAAAUGCUUAGAGAUUACAUGGAAUACCAAUUGCGAAGGCAGGUUACUACUAAUAUAUUGACGCUGAUGGACGAAAGCGUGGGGAGCGAACAGGAUUAGAUACCCUGGUAGUCCACGCCGUAAACGAUGGAUACUAGCUGUUCGGAGCAAUCUGAGUGGCUAAGCGAAAGUGAUAAGUAUCCCACCUGGGGAGUACGUUCGCAAGAAUGAAACUCAAAGGAAUUGACGG
rnacentral:rRNA from 1 species